CCUACGGGCGGCAGCAGUGAGGAAUAUUGGUCAAUGGACGAGAGUCUGAACCAGCCAAGUAGCGUGAAGGAUGACUGCCCUAUGGGUUGUAAACUUCUUUUAUAUGGGAAUAAAAUGUUCCACGUGUGGGAUUUUGUAUGUACCAUAUGAAUAAGGAUCGGCUAACUCCGUGCCAGCAGCCGCGGUAAUACGGAGGAGCCGAGCGUUAUCCGGAUUUAUUGGGUUUAAAGGGAGCGUAGGUGGAUUGUUAAGUCAGGUGUGAAAGUUUGCGGCUCAACCGUAAAAUUGCAGUUGAAACUGGCAGUCUGGAGUACAGUAGAGGUGGGCGGAAUUCGUGGUGUAGCGGUGAAAUGCUUAGAUAUCACGAAGAACUCCGAUUGCGAAGACAGCUCACUGGACUGCAACUGACACUGAGGCUCGAAAGUGUGGGUAUCAAACAGGAUUAGAUACCCGAGUAGUC
rnacentral:rRNA from 1 species